UGAGGGUGCGAUUUAAAGAGGGCUCAGAAAUCCUCUGAAUUCUGGCUCUGAAAGUGGGCUUGUGAUGGCAUGGUCAGUGCUGCUACAGGGGCUGUGAUGACAGGCUUUGCCUCGCCGUGUCUUCUGGAAUCUUCAGCUAGGAAUAAUGUCAGAGAGGAGCAUGCGGUAAAUGACAGAGCUGAUGCAUUGGCUUCUCAGCAGCUUCGGUGCUACAAGUGA
rnacentral:lncRNA from 1 species